rnacentral:rRNA from 1 species
GAUGAACGCUGGCGGCGUGCCUAAUACAUGCAAGUCGAGCGAAUGGAUUAAGAGCUUGCUCUUAUGAAGUUAGCGGCGGACGGGUGAGUAACACGUGAGUAACCUGCCCUUGACUCUGGGAUAACUGCUAGAAAUGGUAGCUAAUACCGGAUACGACCCUCGGCGGCCUCGCCCGGGGGUGGAAAGAAUUUCGGUCAAGGAUGGACCCGCGGCCUAUCAGCCAGUUGGUGAGGUAACGGCUCACCAAGGCGACGGCGGUUAGCCGGCCUGAGAGGGUGACCGGCCACACUGGGACUGAGACACGGCCCAGACUCCUACGGGAGGCAGCAGUGGGGAAUAUUGCACAAUGGGCGCAAGCCUGAUGCAGCAACGCCGCGUGAGGGAUGACGGCCUUCGGGUUGUAAACCUCUUUUAGUAGGGAAGAAGCGAAAGUGACGGUACCUGCAGAAAAAGCACCGGCUAACUACGUGCCAGCCGCCGCAGUAA